ACAAUAUCUCGAGGGCAGUGCCCGCAGGAUGAUGUUUAGGGAAAUAUAAUAAAAUUACAAUAAUAAUGGAUACUUCACAGUACAAAGCAACAUUUUAGGAAUGAUUCAACCAGUCUGAUUUAAAUCUUUAUGAAUUUCAUACAGUCUUUCCUGGCAAGUUAUGAAAGAUGAACUACUACAAAAUGUCCACUAUACAGCAAGAAUAAGCAAAUACUGACAUGAACACACUUGCUGGGGAUGCCACAGACAGCUUACUGAAACGCCAUAAACCUAUGGAAUUCUGGUACUUCGGUCCAGUGGUUCUGGCAAUUGUUAUGUUUCUAUUGAUGGGCACAAUCUUCGAGAGGAGGAUAGAAGCUCUCUAUCAUCGACUCAGUGAGUAUGAUGAUCAACCACCGCCAAGCGCAUUUACUACAACGUGAGAAUCACGACGAAGCAAGUGGACCAGGAAGUGGACCAGCCACUUCUGCGCAAGCGGCCAAAACUCCUUCACAAAGAACCUUAAACGGUGGCAAAGCUGCCAGCACUUCAGCCGAAGCCGCUCCACCGCAAAUACUAACAACCAACUAAUGUAUAAUGUAUACACUAUUGAAAACUGUUAUUCCAAAACUGCUAUACCUUAUCGACGAAUUACCUGACCCUCAGUACUUAAAAUGUCAGACGAUUUUAACCACUAUUAUAUGUGUGAACAAUGGCCUGGUACAUUAUGAAGCCAUGCAGGCCAACUUUUUCGAAAGAUGCCAGGUUAUAGCCCAGAGGUUCAAUGAAGUGGCUGAGCAUCUGCCAGAUUUUAAGUAUACUGAGAUUAAACUGUUUAAGACCAGUCAGACCGAAUAAAGGAUUGGACUACCUACCUAAUAAUGAACAUGACAUACUUAAAGUUCUGAAAACAUGCUAUAGAUAUUGAGUAUGCGUGAAACUUCGCUUGGGUAUAAAACGCACCCAAACGCCUCCAAAAAUGCAUUUAUGCCCGAAAUCGCUGCUCCUGAAUGCGCAUACGAAAUUCUACUAGAAAAUCCUCGAAUACAUGCCAGAAUCGAAAGC